rnacentral:rRNA from 1 species
CCAGACUCCUACGGGAGGCAGCAGUAGGGAAUAUUGCUCAAUGGGGGAAACCCUGAAGCAGCAACGCCGCGUGGAGGAUGAAGGUUUUAGGAUUGUAAACUCCUUUUGUUAGAGAAGAUUAUGACGGUAUCUAACGAAUAAGCACCGGCUAACUCCGUGCCAGCAGCCGCGGUAAUACGGAGGGUGCAAGCGUUACUCGGAAUUACUGGGCGUAAAGAGUGCGUAGGCGGGGUAAUAAGUCAGUUGUGAAAUUCUGUAGCUUAACCGCAGAACUGCAUUUGAAACUGUUACUCUGGAGUGUAGGAGAGGUAGGUGGAAUUCUUGGUGUAGGGGUAAAAUCCGUAGAUAUCAAGAGGAAUACUGAUUGCGAAGGCGACCUGCUGGACCAUAACUGACGCUGAUGCACGAAAGUGUGGGGAUCAAACAGGAUUAGAUACCCCGGUA